CCCUUAGAUGUUCUGGGCCGCACGCGCGCUACACUGAUUCAUGCAACAAGUUUUGUCCUUGGCUGAUAGGCCUGGGUAAUCUUUGAACGUGAAUCGUGAUGGGGAUAGAUGAUUGCAAUUAUUCAUCUUCAACGAGGAAUUCCUAGUAAACGCAAGUCAUCAGCUUGCAUUGAUUACGUCCCUGCCCUUUGUACACACCGCCCGUCGCACCUACCGAUUGAAUGGUCCGGUGAAAUCUUCGGAUCUGAGAGAUGUCUGAUUAAUUUCGGACGCCUUUUGGAAAAGUUGUUUAAACCUUACCAUUUAGAGGAAGGCGAAGUCGUAACA
rnacentral:rRNA from 1 species